CUCCGCUCCGGGGUCUGUUCUGCCGCUGGCGGCUCCGCGCCGCACAGCCCUGCACUAGAGAACUGGAGUAGAGAAGGAGAAGCCAACGGCAAAUUCCGGGCAGGAAGUCGACCUACCCUUGCCUCUGGCCAGGUCGCAGUGUAGCAAUAAAAAUCAUACGUCAGUUCAGACAGCAGCAGGAAUAGCUGACUGGAAAGAAACUCCAAGGGACUUCAGAUAAUAUGAUUUCAGGAGGCUGGCCUGGAGCUCAGACGCCAUUCAAAACAUCUUGAAUUUCAUGAGGGCUUCUUAAGACCCACCUCACUCAGACGUCAUUUUCUCAAAAACGGAAGGCAAGUUUCUUCAUGAUCCACAUCAGUCCAGCUCAAAAGGGAGGGAGCAGUGUGGGGAUGAAAGAAGACAAAAAUAUUUACUCCUUCAGUGAUGAACUAAAAGGGCCAAACUCGGUUCUGUGUUUCUACACCUUUGCUGACAUCUUAAUAAAAUUAAGCCACAAACCCUAA